GACGAACGCUGGCGGCGUGCUUAACACAUGCAAGUCGAACGGUAAGGCCCUUCGGGGUACACGAGUGGCGAACGGGUGAGUAACACGUGGGUGAUCUGCCCUGCACUUCGGGAUAAGCCUGGGAAACUGGGUCUAAUACCGGAUAGGACUCCUGGCUUCACGGUGUGUGGUGGAAAGCUUUUGCGGUGUGGGAUGGGCCCGCGGCCUAUCAGCUUGUUGGUGGGGUAAUGGCCUACCAAGGCGACGACGGGUGGCCGGCCUGAGAGGGUGACCGGCCACACUGGGACUGAGAUACGGCCCAGACUCCUACGGGAGGCAGCAGUGGGGAAUAUUGCACAAUGGGCGCAAGCCUGAUGCAGCGACGCCGCGUGAGGGAUGACGGCCUUCGGGUUGUAAACCUCUUUCAGUAGGGACGAAGCGCAAGUGACGGUACCUACAGAAGAAGGACCGGCCAACUACGUGCCAGCCGCCGCUGUAA
rnacentral:rRNA from 1 species